AGACCCAGGAAUAUCAAUUCUAAUCCAAAUUUGCAAUUUGAAUAAAUACUGAGCC
rnacentral:tRNA from 1 species